GCCCGGAUGGCGGAAUUGGCAGACGCAACGGACUUAAAAUCCGUUGACCGUAAGGUCGUGCGGGUUCAAGUCCCGCUCCGGGUA
rnacentral:tRNA from 1 species